UCCCUUGUAGCUCAGUCGGUAAAGAAUCUGCCUGCUGUGCAGAAGACCCGGGUUCGAUCCCUGAGUUGGAGAA
rnacentral:tRNA from 1 species